CGCCCGUCACACCAUGGGAGCUGGUAAUGCCCGAAGUCGGUUUUGUUAACUACGGAGACAACUGCCUAAGGCAGGGCCGGUGACUGGGGUGAAGUCGUAACAAGGUAUCCCUACGAGAACGUGGGGAUGGAUUACCUCCUUUCUACGGAGUACAUUAAGUUACAAUUUACUUUAGUAACAAUUACCAAUUAUUACAUAAGGUUAUCAUUUCUUAUUUAAUGUCAUGGUUGAGAUAACCCAACAAGUAUAUCUAGUUUUGAGAGAACUUCUCUCAAUGUUCUUUGAAAACUGAAUAGUAAAGAUAAAUUAAUAUAACAACGACAUCAAUAAAAUAAAUUAGUCAAUUUGUUUUGUGAUUACCGAGUAAUUAUUUUAAAAAUAAUUUAUUAAAAUGUCUUUGAAUACAUCAACAACAAUAGGUAAAUAUUGAACUUUUAAAUAAGUAAGAGUGAGUGGUGGAUGCCUUGGGUCUGGAAGUCGAUGAAGGACGUGAUUACCUGCGAUAAGCCUCGUGGAGCUGGAUAUGAGCUACGAUACGGGGAUUUCCGAAUGGGGGAACCUAGUUAGAGUAAUGUCUAACUGCUUCAAGAUGAAUAAAAUAGUCUUGAAUGCGAGACACGUUGUGAACUGAAACAUCUUAGUAGCAACAGGAAAAGAAAAUAAAUAAUGAUUCCAUUAGUAGCGGCGAGCGAACUUGGAAGAGCCCAAACCACCUUCGGGUGGGGUUGUAGGACUAUCUACAUAAAGUCACAAAUUUUUGUUAUAGCAGAAAUAGUUGGGAAACUAUAGCAUAGAGGGUGAGACUCCCGUAUGCGAAAUAACAAAAACUUUUGAUAGUAUCCUGAGUAGGGCGGGGCACGUGAAACCCUGUCUGAAUCCGCCAGGACCAUCUGGUAAGGCUAAAUACUAAUCAGACACCGAUAGUGAACUA
rnacentral:sRNA from 2 species